AGUGAACGCUGGCGGCAGGCCUAACACAUGCAAGUCGAGCGGCAGCGGGUCCUUCGGGAUGCCGGCGAGCGGCGGACGGGUGAGGAAUGCGUCGGAAUCUGCCUUUUUGUGGGGGAUAACGUAGGGAAACUUACGCUAAUACCGCAUACGACCUACGGGUGAAAGUGGGGGACCGCAAGGCCUCACGCAGAAAGAUGAGCCGACGUCGGAUUAGCUAGUUGGCGGGGUAAAGGCCCACCAAGGCGGCGAUCCGUAGCUGGUCUGAGAGGAUGAUCAGCCACACUGGAACUGAGACACGGUCCAGACUCCUACGGGAGGCAGCAGUGGGGAAUAUUGGACAAUGGGCGCAAGCCUGAUCCAGCCAUGCCGCGUGUGUGAAGAAGGCCUUCGGGUUGUAAAGCACUUUUGUCCGGAAAGAAAUCCUGUCGGCUAAUACCCGGCGGGGAUGACGGUACCGGAAGAAUAAGCACCGGCUAACUUCGUG
rnacentral:rRNA from 1 species